CACGCUGGGGUCGGGGAAUGGAUCGUAAAACAAGAGUUUGAGUAGAGAAGUAGAUGGACAGAAAGACAUAAUACUAUUUAUAUAUUAUAUAUUUGGCUAGAAGGUGUUUUCUUGGUGGUGAAGGGACCUCUCCCUUGUAUGGUUUGCCAAAGGCAGAGCCUUCACGUAGCCGUUGGCUAGAUUUCAUUUUUAACCCUAUUCCACCGACUUUACCGAGCCUUUUUCUGUGUCGCCUCCACUUCACGGAUGGCUGCUUCAGCAACCUGCGUGAAGAUGACUCUCAACAUGUAAGUAAACCUAUAAUAACAAAAGUGGCUGUGUUGUGUGUAAUAUAAGUUCGGGUAAUUAACCCUACCAUUUCCUACCAUUAAAAUAAUUCAUUCUGUAGCUAGCUGCUAGUCUUGUUGCGAGGCUGGUUAAUCUUCCACAAACCUUUUGCGGGAUCUCAAACUACAAUUCUAAACUGUCUGUAAAAUGAGAGCUAGCCUUAGCCUUAUGUGAGGUGUUACUAUAAGGUGGGUUAAAUGGUCACAGUUCCUGUUUCAGAUGUUGUUAGCUUGUACUGUGUAAAAUCAUUUUUCGUCGUGAUUUAUGUGUGAUAAUUUUAGCAGGACUGCAGUGCCCAUAAUCGCCCCUUUCAACACGUCGGAUGCCAGACUGACACGCCUCAGAUUAUAUCGACGGGAACCCAAACAAACUCGCCGGUGGGAAUGCAUUCUGUGGGAAUACAAAGUGCACGGUUGAAGUCGACGUUAGGCGGCACACAGUUGUCCAUGGGAUCGCUAAAGGCACACGUAAGAAGCAAAGCCAUGCAGACACAGGUCUCUCCUGUCAGUGCAGACUUCGGAACAACCUCUCUUUUGCCACACUCACUGCUGACUUCAACACCAAUAAAGGGCCCAGGCUGGUGACCUAGCAAGAAACCACGGCUUGAGUUGGAGGAAGAGGAGGAGAGUGACUCCUCAAUGUUGUGCAGGUAAUAAUUUACACCAUCUCGUAAUUGUGAAAGCCAUUGAUUGGAAUGAUUGUCAGGCACACUCUGUUGUUUAAUGGCGGUGCUUUUUUUUUUUUUACCAUAAGUUGUAUCUAGCAUCAAUGCACCACAAUGAAAAUGCAUCACAGGAGCAAGCUACGACUUCUGCAGGGCAGGCGAAGAGUGGGGAAGGUGUUGUGAAGGCCGUGAAAACAGAUCCAACAUUCAGUAAGUUUGUCAAAUAUAAUCUUUAAACACACACGC
rnacentral:lncRNA from 1 species